rnacentral:rRNA from 1 species
UACAGAGGGUGCGAGCGUUAAUCGGAAUUACUGGGCGUAAAGCGCACGUAGGUGGCGACGUAAGUCGGGUGUGAAAUCCCUGGGCUCAACCUGGGAACCGCAUUGGUGACUGCAUUGCUGGAGUAUGGCAGAGGGGGGUGGAAUUCCACGUGUAGCAGUGAAAUGCGUAGAGAUGUGGAGGAACACCGAUGGCGAAGGCAGCCCCCUGGGCCAAUACUGACGCUCAUGCACGAAAGCGUGGGGAGCAAACAGG